UUUAAAGCCCAGUUAAAAUUAGGUUGUUUCGUCGUCUCCCCUUGGACCUUCAAAGAUUAUCGAAAGUUCCAGAAAACUUAAACGUCGUUCACCUCUCCGUAACGUCACGAGACUCACGACCUUUCAUUGAUUCAUUCUUUACUCUGAUCUUCUAUGUAAUUAACCCACUUCACCCACUCUGCAACAUUCAAUUGAGCUCAUCGCAUCUCCCAAAGUAAUCAACUGAAGCUACGACUAUAAAUCUCUAAUCUUCCAACUGUGAACAGCAAAACUUCGACCAGAUCGAGGAUAAUAAUCUAUUCGUGACGUUACAUCUAUACGAAUAGAGAUUCUAAAUACUCUUUUUUCCAGUUCAUUAACUUAAUCCCAUAUGAAGCUAUUUGUGUUGUUUACAUCUGAUGGAUAUGGUCUUCUCUUGGAAAGGAUAUCAAGGGAUGCUAGGAAAGCUGUUUUCUUGCAGCAUGGUGUUUUAGAUUCUUGAAUGGGAUGGGUACCAAAUGGAGUUGUUGGAUCCCCUGCUUUUACUGCUUAUGAUCAAGUUAUUUCAGGUGGAUCCUGAAUAAAUGCAGUUUCCGGAAUUACUCCGUCAACGAGGCAUGCAAGAGAUGAUAUCCCCGCAAUGAUAGAGAAGAUUCACAAAAUCAAAACUUCAGAAUUCAGACUCUACCAGCCUAAUGUGGAAGAGGUAGUACACGAGGAGCAACCUUAUAAGCUCUACGUUAUCUAUGAAUUAUGGAAAGCUAUGCUUUUAUAAAGUUACAUGUAGCAUGUCUGUAGUUUCUUUUGUUCUUGAGACUGGCUUAGAACACAUUAGAUGCAUGUAUGAGACUGUAUUCUAUUUAAGUCAUCUACCCAAACUAGAAUACAAAAAGGGAGACACAUAUGUUACAAACUUUGUAUGAUGUUUGUUGUUACAAAUGUAUAGACGAGUUUCUACAAAAA